CCCCCACCUCCCUACGGCCAGAGAGGGGGUCAGCGGUGAGGGGACAGCGUCAGACCGUACAGAAGGUACUGCUGCUCUUCUCCAGAGGCUAACACAACGUGUCUCUGGGCGUGUGUCUGAGUCUCACUGGGCAGUGUGUGACGGCACAGCCUUAUCAGUGGUUUCUGACCCCCAGACUGACAGCGAGGAGGUUUUAACCCAGUCACACAGUAUAGUGGAGAGGGAAGGGUCUCUCAAUCAGGAAGACGGCAUUGUUCACAGUGAGGAGACAGACAGAGUCCCGGAAAAGACAGGAACAGGGGAGGAGGUGGAGGAGAGGAGAGAUAGGGGUUCAGAAACCAGGGCAGAGGAGAGGGAUAGGGGUUCAGAAACCAGGACAGAGACAG
ensembl:lncRNA